rnacentral:lncRNA from 1 species
GGGCACCCAAGUGCCUGCAGGGAUGUUGUGCUGCAACAAGAAUUGUUACAGAUUCGGAACGUUUUCUAAAUCCCGGUAAGUUCUGUUGUUAAUAUUUAACAAGUAUUUUCAUACCUAGGGCAGCUAACCGUGGUAGGCUGAAGCCGAAGGGACACCCCGGCCAGGUUGGUGGCGCUGUUCCCACCAGCCCAGCCCGUUCGGACUCUGAAGGGGGGGAAAUUGGAUCACGGAGAUUCUAAAACAUUGCUCACCAAAGCACCAAUAAACCAAAUAAAUAGAUAAAUAAACAAAAAGGGAAAGUAAUUGAAAACUAAGUCCGCACAAAAUAUAUUUCUGAAAAUACUAGCCAGUGCCUCCAAGAUGUCUUCUGUUACUACAUUAGAUUUUUUGG